CUCCUGUGUUGUGUUUUUUGUUUGUUAUUACCAACCGUACAAAAACAAUGUCCUCUUGGUUGACCGGUUUCUCUGUAGUUCUAUCCUUAAAUUGCAGUAGCUCUCACAUCGUUUCAAAUUUGUAUAGAUUUUUGAGAGGUUGAAGGCCUUCCUGGGUGGAAGUUCGUCUUUCACUACUUCUCGGCUCUCCAAAAAUGAUUUGUGGUCUUCAUAAAAAAUGUUCUUCAUCUAUAUGAAACCUAUAUUAUAUCAGCCAAAUGUAUUCGCUCUGCUUGUCAGUGAACAAAGUUGUGCGAAAGUGAGAAUGUGUAUAAUAUAGCAAUAUUGUCUGUCACAUGACAUGUACACUUGAAC